rnacentral:rRNA from 1 species
AUUGAACGCUGGCGGCAGGCCUAACACAUGCAAGUCGAACGAGUGGCGGACGUGUGCGUAAUGUCUGGCAAACUGCCUGUUGGCGGGGGAUAACUACUGGAAACGGUUGCUACUACCGCAUACCAUCAGAUGUGCCCCGAUGGGAUUAGCUAGUUGGUGGGGUAACGGCUCACCAAGGCGACGAUCCCUCGCUGGUCUGAGAGGAUGACCAGGAAGACUGGAACUGGAACAGGUACCAGAAUCCUAGGGAGGGCAAGAGGGGGGAAGAUUGCACAAUGGGCGAAAGCCGGAUGCAGCCAGGCGGCGUGUAUGAAGAAGGCCUUGGGGUUGUAAAGUACGUUCAGCGGGGAGGCGUUACCCGCAGAAGAAGCACCGGCUAACUCCGUGCCAGCAGCCGCGGUAAUAC